rnacentral:rRNA from 1 species
UACGUAGGGAGCAAGCGUUGUCCGGAAUCAUUGGGCGUAAAGCGCGCGUAGGUGGCCCUGUAAGUCCGUUGUGAAAGUCAAAGGCUCAACCUUUGAAAGCCGAUGGAUACUGCAGGGCUAGAGUACGGAAGAGGCGAGUGGAAUUCCUGGUGUAGCGGUGGAAUGCGCAGAUAUCAGGAGGAACACCGGUGGCGAAGGCGCCACUCUGGGCCGAAACUGACGCUGAGGAGCGAAAGCGUGGGUAGCAAACAGG